UACACUUUUCUUCCUGGUGGGGAGAAAUUUUAUACGGUUGGACUUGCAGCUACGUGCUGGGCUAUCUGGCUCGCACGCAAUAAGGCUACUUUCGAGAAAAAGCAGAUUAAGUCUCCUUUUGAAAUUGUGUUUUCUAUGUGCUCUUUUCUUCUGUAUUGGACAGGGCUGCAAAAAGGUGAUGACGCCGACAAUCUAUGUUCAAGUGCUGAGAUGAUCAGGACCAGCACAAUGCAACUGAUGAGGCUUUACGAGGCUGCCACUCAGCCGAUCGGAGGAGCAUGA
rnacentral:rRNA from 1 species